rnacentral:rRNA from 1 species
UACGUAGGUGGCAAGCGUUGUCCGGAAUUAUUGGGCGUAAAGCGCGCGCAGGCGGUCCUUUAAGUCUGAUGUGAAAGCCCACGGCUCAACCGUGGAGGGUCAUUGGAAACUGGGGGACUUGAGUGCAGAAGAGGAAAGUGGAAUUCCACGUGUAGCGGUGAAAUGCGUAGAGAUGUGGAGGAACACCAGUGCGAAGGCGACUUCUGGUCGUGUAACUGACGCUGAGGCGCGAAAGCGUGGG